UUAAGCGACUAAGCGUACACGGUGGAUGCCCUGGCAGUCAGAGGCGAUGAAGGACGUGCUAAUCUGCGAAAAGCGCCGGCGAGGUGAUAUGAACCCUUGACCCGGCGAUGUCCGAAUGGGGAAACCCAGUGCAAUNCGUUGCACUAUCGUUAACUGAAUACAUAGGUUAACGAGGCGAACCGGGGGAACUGAAACAUCUAAGUACCCCGAGGAAAAGAAAUCAACCGAGAUUCCCCCAGUAGCGGCGAGCGAACGGGGAGCAGCCCAGAGUCUGAAUCAGCUUGUGUGUUAGUGGAAGCGUCUGGAAAGUCGCACGGUACAGGGUGAAAGUCCCGUACACGAAAAUGCACAGGCUGUGAACUCGAAGAGUAGGGCGGGACACGUGGUAUCCUGUCUGAAUAUGGGGGGACCAUCCUCCAAGGCUAAAUACUCCUGACUGACCGAUAGUGAACCAGUACCGUGAGGGAAAGGCGAAAAGAACCCCGGCGAGGGGAGUGAAAAAGAACCUGAAACCGUGUACGUACAAGCAGUGGGAGCACCUUCGGGUGUGACUGCGUACCUUUUGUAUAAUGGGUCAGCGACUUAUAUUCUGUAGCAAGGUUAACCGUAUAGGGGAGCCGAAGGGAAACCGAGUCUUAACUGGGCGUUAAGUUGCAGGGUAUAGACCCGAAACCCGGUGAUCUAGCCAUGGGCAGGUUGAAGGUUGGGUAACACUAACUGGAGGACCGAACCGACUAAUGUUGAAAAAUUAGCGGAUGACCUGUGGCUGGGGGUGAAAGGCCAAUCAAACCGGGAGAUAGCUGGUUCUCCCCGAAAGCUAUUUAGGUAGCGCCUCGUGAACUCAUCUUCGGGGGUAGAGCACUGUUUCGGCUAGGGGGCCAUCCCGGCUUACCAACCCGAUGCAAACUACGAAUACCGAAGAAUGUUAUCACGGGAGACACACGGCGGGUGCUAACGUCCGUCGUGAAGAGGGAAACAACCCAGACCGCCAGCUAAGGUCCCAAAGUCAUGGUUAAGUGGGAAACGAUGUGGGAAGGCCCAGACAGCCAGGAUGUUGGCUUAGAAGCAGCCAUCAUUUAAAGAAAGCGUAAUAGCUCACUGGUCGAGUCGGCCUGCGCGGAAGAUGUAACGGGGCUAAACCAUGCACCGAAGCUGCGGCAGCGACACUAUGUGUUGUUGGGUAGGGGAGCGUUCUGUAAGCCGUUGAAGGUGGCCUGUGAGGGUUGCUGGAGGUAUCAGAAGUGCGAAUGCUGACAUAAGUAACGAUAAAGCGGGUGAAAAGCCCGCUCGCCGGAAGACCAAGGGUUCCUGUCCAACGUUAAUCGGGGCAGGGUGAGUCGACCCCUAAGGCGAGGCCGAAAGGCGUAGUCGAUGGGAAACAGGUUAAUAUUCCUGUACUUGGUGUUACUGCGAAGGGGGGACGGAGAAGGCUAUGUUAGCCGGGCGACGGUUGUCCCGGUUUAAGCAUGUAGGCGGAGGUUCCAGGUAAAUCCGGUACCUUUUAACGCUGAGGUGUGAUGACGAGGCACUACGGUGCUGAAGUAACAAAUGCCCUGCUUCCAGGAAAAGCCUCUAAGCAUCAGGUAACAUCAAAUCGUACCCCAAACCGACACAGGUGGUCAGGUAGAGAAUACCAAGGCGCUUGAGAGAACUCGGGUGAAGGAACUAGGCAAAAUGGUGCCGUAACUUCGGGAGAAGGCACGCUGAUAUGUAGGUGAAGCCCCUGCGGGUGGAGCUGAAAUCAGUCGAAGAUACCAGCUGGCUGCAACUGUUUAUUAAAAACACAGCACUGUGCAAACACGAAAGUGGACGUAUACGGUGUGACGCCUGCCCGGUGCCGGAAGGUUAAUUGAUGGGGUUAGCGGCAACGCGAAGCUCUUGAUCGAAGCCCCGGUAAACGGCGGCCGUAACUAUAACGGUCCUAAGGUAGCGAAAUUCCUUGUCGGGUAAGUUCCGACCUGCACGAAUGGCGUAAUGAUGGCCAGGCUGUCUCCACCCGAGACUCAGUGAAAUUGAACUCGCUGUGAAGAUGCAGUGUACCCGCGGCAAGACGGAAAGACCCCGUGAACCUUUACUAUAGCUUGACACUGAACACUGGUCCUUGAUGUGUAGGAUAGGUGGGAGGCUUUGAAGCGUGGACGCCAGUCUGCGUGGAGCCGUCCUUGAAAUACCACCCUUUAAUGGCUGGUGUUCUAACGUAGACCCGUAAUCCGGGUUGCGGACAGUGUCUGGUGGGUAGUUUGACUGGGGCGGUCUCCUCCCAAAGAGUAACGGAGGAGCACGAAGGUUAGCUAAUCCUGGUCGGACAUCAGGAGGUUAGUGCAAUGGCAUAAGCUAGCUUGACUGCGAGAGUGAC
rnacentral:rRNA from 1 species